rnacentral:rRNA from 1 species
UACGUAGGGUGCAAGCGUUGUCCGGAAUUAUUGGGCGUAAAGAGCUCGUAGGCGGUCUGUCGCGUCUGCUGUGAAAACUCAGGGCUUAACCCUGAGCUUGCAGUGGGUACGGGCAGACUAGAGUGCGGUAGGGGGAGACUGGAAUUCCUGGUGUAGCGGUGAAAUGCGCAGAUAUCAGGAGGGAACACCGGUGGGCGAAGGCGGGACUC